rnacentral:rRNA from 1 species
GGGGAAUAUUGGACAAUGGGCGCAAGCCUGAUCCAGCCACGCCGCGUGAGUGAUGAAGGCCUUCGGGUCGUAAAGCUCUGUGGGGAGGGACGAACGGCGCCAUGAAGAGUGGCGAUUGACGGUACCUCCUUAGCAAGCACCGGCUAACUUCGUGCCAGCAGCCGCGGUAAUACGAAGGGUGCAAACGUUGCUCGGAAUCAUUGGGCGUAAAGCGCACGUAGGCGGCUUUCUAAGUCGGAUGUGAAAUCCCUCGGCUUAACCGAGGACGUGCAUCCGAAACUGGGAGGCGUGAGUAUGGAAGAGGGUCGCAGAAUUCCCGGUGUAGAGGUGAAAUUCGUAGAUAUCGGGAGGAAUACCAGUGGCGAAGGCGGCGACCUGGGCCAAUACUGACGCUGAGGUGCGAAAGCGUGGGGAGCAAAC